UACGUAGGGGGCAAGCGUUGUUCGGAAUCACUGGGCGUAAAGCGCACGUAGGCGGAUUGCUAAGUCAGGGGUGAAAUCCUGGAGCUCAACUCCAGAACUGCCUUUGAUACUGGCGACCUUGAGUCCGGGAGAGGUGAGUGGAACUGCGAGUGUAGAGGUGAAAUUCGUAGAUAUUCGCAAGAACACCAGUGGCGAAGGCGGCUCACUGGCCCGGUACUGACGCUGAGGUGCGAAAGCGUGGGGAGCAAACAGG
rnacentral:rRNA from 1 species